CUGUACCUAAUUUACCACAAGUUGAAAAACUGAAGGUGUCCAAGGAAUCUACACCUAGUUCUGUUGCAACUCUUAGUUCUGUGAUAAGAGCAUCAUACUCAACUUCAUUGUUAGUGGCUUUGAAUCUGAUUCGUAUAGCAUAUUCCAUCUACUCGCUUGAAGGAGUUUGGAGAACAAGUCCUGCACCACAGCCAUAUUGGUUGGAUAACCCGUCCAUAAAUAGUUUCCACUUGGCGAGGUCUUCAUC
rnacentral:lncRNA from 1 species